rnacentral:rRNA from 1 species
GAUCCUGGCUAAGGAUGAACGCUAGUGACAGGCUUAACACAUGCAAGUCGAGGGGCAGCAUGAGGUAGCAAUACCUUGAUGGCGACCGGCGCACGGGUGAGUAACGCGUAUGCAACCUGCCCGAUACCGGGGUAUAGCCCAUGGAAACGUGGAUUAACACCCCAUAGUACUUUUAUCCUGCCUGGGAUGGGAGUUAAAUGUUCAAGGUAUCGGAUGGGCAUGCGUCCUAUUAGUUAGUUGGCGGGGU